AGAGUUUGAUCCUGGCUACAGGACGAACGCUGGCGGCGCGCCUAACACAUGCAAGUCGAACGGGAAUUUAUCGACAGAAGCCUUCGGGUGGAAGAUGAUAAAUUUUAGUGGCGACGGGUGAGUAACACGUGAGCAACCUACCUAUGAGAGGGGGAUAACGUCCUGAAAAGGACGCUAAUACCGCAUAACCCGACUGGAUGGCAUCAUCUGGUUGGCAAAGGAGCAAUCCGCUGAUAGAUGGGCUCGCGGCCGAUUAGGUAGUUGGUGGGGUAAAGGCCUACCAAGCCGACGAUCGGUAGCCGGACUGAGAGGUUGAACGGCCACAUUGGGACUGAGACACGGCCCAGACUCCUACGGGAGGCAGCAGUGGGGAAUAUUGCACAAUGGGGGAAACCCUGAUGCAGCGACGCCGCGUGAGGGAAGAAGGUUUUCGGAUUGUAAACCUCUGUCCUUGGUGACGAAAGAAGACGGUAGCCAAGGAGGAGGCCACGGCUAACUACGUG
rnacentral:rRNA from 1 species